ACUUGAUUGGGUGAAAAUUUAAUGUUCUCACAUACCAUCGGAGCUUGUGCAGUUUUCUCCAUCUGCAGGUCUCAACACCUACGCAGCAACAUUGGAUAGCAAAGCUAUUGGGCUAUGACUUUCACAUCGAUACAAAUCUAGCGGCACUAAUAAAGCAACGGAUGCACUAUCUCGUCGCGAUGAGGAUAUGGAUUGUUACAUAAUAUCUCAAACACAAUGGUUGGAUCUCAAAGAAAUGGAUGCUACCAUUCAACAAGAUAGUUAUUGGCAAUAAGUAUGUCAAGAUUUGCACCAAAAUCCAUCUUCCCACGACAAUUUCAACUUAAUUUAGAAUUGCCUAUUCUACAAGGGAAAGUUAGGAAUUCCCAAACACUCUCCUUAGGUAUCAAAAUUAAUUAUCGAG
rnacentral:misc_RNA from 1 species